CGGUGAGCUCUAAAACCCAUCUGGGUCCGGCCUGCCCGCCAUGAACGCCUGUUGUCUAUCUGUAGGCAUUUCAUCCCUUUCCUCCAGAAAAGGUCUCCCGGGAGGGGGCUGUCGCUCACUGCAAAAUCACCAGCUUCCCUGCACCCAGCUCAGGACCAGGUCCCAUGGUGGUCACAUGACUCGGGCCUGCCCGUGUCCUCGGUUUUCCUGGCCACAGUGAUGGUCCAGCGUUUCGUCACAUGACUGAAACUAGACCAAUCAGAGUCCUUCCCUGGGGCUUUUUCUACUGAAGCUGGGAAAUAGAGUCUCUCUCUCUCUCUCUGUCUCUGGUCCUUCUAUAUAGGGUCCUGUAAACUGGUAUGAUGUUAGUAGGUACUGUCACACCAAGGUGCUCCCUCAUGGCAGCCUCCACUCAGGGGUACCUGUCCCAUGGCACCGGCCCACACGUGGAUUUGGCUUCUGUCCUUUGCGACUGAAAAAGUCCUCACGCAUUCCCAUCUCGAAGCCUCUUAUUGUGUGCCAUGCUGGGGGACAGGGUCACUCCCCUGGAGUUGGCAUCCACAGGCCCUGCCCUGCAAUUUUACUCCAUGUCCAUCACUGCCCCCCACUGGGCCCGACGUCCCGCACUUGGAGCCCUCCGAAGGCGCUGGCCAUCUUGGCAUUCCUUGGCUUGUGGCUGCUGGGAAGUUCCAGGCCCUCGGUUUCCUCCCGGUGUUUCAGCGUCCGCAGCCAACGACAGCAUCAUCCUACAGCCCUGCACUAACUUGCGCCUGUGUUUCCCCUUCCUGAGCCAUGAGCAACCCAGAGGGACGCUUGCAGCCCUGGGGUCCAGUGCCUUUCACAAUCGUGGAACAUCUGUAGCAAAUACUGUGGCGGGAACAUCCAAACUCCACGCGUGGCUUUUGAACUCCGUGUUCGUGAACCUGUGUUUCAGCGGAUGUUCAUGACUGUCAGGCUGUAAACCGCCUCUGUCUCUGCAUCCUUAAGAAGGGGGAGAUCAUGGCUCUUGCAUCACAGGUUCCUGAGGAGGAGUCACGGGGGGCCCGUGAAGCACUUAGGACCAUGUUUGGCAUCUGGUAAACACUUCCAAGGACGUACUUGUGUACAUCUCCUCCCCUCCCCCUGCGUCCUCUUCCUUCUCUCGCCUUCUCCUAGUCUUCUCCUGUCAUUUCCUCACACCCCUUCUCUGCCUCUCAGCUCAAGGGUGACUGUCUGCCAUGGGCACCUGUCCAGCUCCGGGGGAACGCUAGGGGCUGGCCAUUGAGAUGGCUGAGAGGCCCCCUGAGCAGAAAAAAAUACCCCUGCAACUCCAUUUAUCCGUCUGGUUUGCUUCAUUCCAUCCCCACCUACCCACCCCCGAUUGAUUGAUUGAUUAUUUAUUUAUUUACUUUAAUUUUUAUUUUUGAGAGAGAGAAAGAGAGUGAGAGUGGGGGAGGGACAGAGAGCGAGGGAGACACAGAAUCUGAAGCAGGCUCCAGGCUCCAAGAUGUCAGCACAGAGGCCGACGCGGGGCUCGAACCCAAGAACGGCGAGAUCAUGACCUGAGCCGAAGUCGGUCGUUUAACCGAAUGAGCCACUCAGGCGCCCCACCACCCCCAAUUUAGAGCCUAUUUCCAGCUAGGUGACCCAGGGCACCGAUGUCCUUAUCCUCUAGACAUAAUCCCUGGCUUAUCCCCUGGGAUUGAUGGGCCUUAGAGCCCUCUGACAGACGCUGAGGGGCUGUGUCAUCAGAAGGAGUCAGCACGGGCCCCAGGAAGCUCUCCUGACCCGAGGAAGAGCUUUCCAAAGGUAAAAGGACACGUUUUCUCCUGCACAGUAUCUUUUCACUCCAAUUAUGCUGUUCCCCCCAGUCAGGUUCGCUUAGGAAAUUUUAACAUGUGAAUAGUCAGUGCUGACCAUCUGGAAUUGCUCUCUGAGAAGCCAGGGGAGUCACUAAAUUGCCAUCCAGUGGACAGUCCUGGCCCCCCGAGUCAGGGCAUCGGGCUGGGAGCGGGCCCUCCGGGCGGACCCCCGAGGUCAGCAGCAGACAACGCAUCCGGAACGGUGCUUCUUCACAGCUGGAUCCUUCUGCUGAUGUCACUGCUGAGCAUUCAGAGCGACACUCGGUGGCGAAAGAGCUAAGUCUGGAGGGACACGGAGGCAGAGGUGUGGAGUACUUCCUGGUCACCUGCUUCUCUCGUUUCUGCCUGUUCGCCUCCCGGCCUGCUUCUCUCUAGUGACAACACCCCGAUUUUCCGUCAGGAGGCCGCCUGUCCCCGUGUCAGUCCAAGAGUGAGCGUGGGACCCGGGUCCCGCCACUCAGGCGGCCCCACUUCCCUGCUUGCUCUUCUCCAUCUGGACGGGCAGGUUCCCAAAGCCACCCCAGAGAGGCCCCCGAGCCCACCAAAAUCUCAAGCUGAGCCCAGAGAUGGGGAAAGGAAGGUUUAUUUGACUUUUUCUGAAUGACCAGAUCCAGCCGCUUCCGGAGCUGACCCUCACUGGCUGUUUCAGCCUGGGAACCCGUAAGUUCUCUUUUCUGCACAACCGGCGAGGCUAGGAUCCCUGACCCGGCAACAGGAGCCCGACGUUCCUUCCCGUUCCCCCACGCCCACCCCCUUCCUGGCCCGCAGCCCACACCUUUGCCGAAGGCCUGUAUCAGUCUCCUUGGGCUGUCCUCGAAGAUGACCGCACACCGGGCGCUUCAAACAGCGGGAAUGUAUCCUGCCUUGCAGUUCCGGAGCCAGGGGUCCACAUGUAAGGUGUCGGCAGGGAUGCUCCCUCUGAGGGCCGGGGAGGAUCCCGCCUGCCUUUUCCAGCUCCUCGUGGCUCCAGGUGUUCCUUGGCUCACGGCUGCGUCACUCGGAACUCUGCCCCCAUCUUUACCUGUCCCUCUACGUUCUUUCCUCUUACAAGGAUGUGAUUUUAUUUAUUUAUUUUUUUAACGUUUGUUUUUGAGACAGAGAGAGAGAGCAUGAAUGGAGGAGGGUCAGAGAGAGGGAGACACAGAAUCUGAAACAGGCUCCAGGCUCUGAGCUGUCAGCACGGAGCCCGAUGCGGGGCUCGAACUCACGGACCACGAAAUCAUGACCUGAGCCGAAGUUGGCCGCUCAACCGACUGAGCCACCCAGGCGCCCCAAGGAUGUGAUUUUCAAUCGAGAUCCAUCUGAUGACAUCUGCAAAGACCUUAUUUCCAAAUAAGUUCCCAUUCACAGGUUCCAGGCGGGCUUAAGUGUUGAGGGGAAACUAUUCAACCCCCUGCAAAGCCUCAUCCCUUCCUACACUGCGAGCAUCCUGGUCCCAUGACCCCCAACUUUGCCUCCACACCCUGUGAGGGCUCUGGCUCUCAAUCUGGUUUGAUUCGGGAUCCAGAUUACCCCUCCCAAAACUCUCAUUCCAGGAACUCCCAUGUGCCACCUAAAACUUUCCAGAAUUUAUGGGUAAGAAAGGUAUGCAAUGUUGAUGGUAUUAAAAGGUCCAGGAAAUGACACUGGCUUCUUUUAUUUUUUUCCCUUUGGAGCAGGUCUUUAAUAUCCCAGAAAGGCUUUGAUAUGAGGGACUAUUAUAGCAAAUUACAGAAGCAUUUGAAAAGGUCUGUCUUUUAAGAGUUUUUGUUUUGUUUGUUUUUAUUUUUAUUUUUUGAGAGAGAGAGAGAGAGAGAGUGAGCACAAAUGGGGGGGUGGAGCAGAGAGAGAGAGGAAAUCCCAAGCAGACACCAUCACAGAACCAAACUUGGGGCACGACCCUAUGACCCUGGGAUCAUGACCUGAGCCAGAGUCAAGAAAGAGUUGGAUGCUUAACUGACUGAGCCCCCCAGGCGCCCCUCGUUUUUAUCCUUAAUUAUGGUAAAAUACACAUAACAUAAAAUUUAUCCCUUUAACCACUUUUAAGUAUACAGUUCAUUCAGUGGCAUUAAGUCCAUUCACACUGUUUUGGAAUCCCCACCCCCACCGUCCCUCUCCAGAACUUUCCGUCAUCCCAGACCAAAAUCCUAUAUCCGUUAAACAAAAACUCCCCAAGCUCUCCAAGCAGAGCCCCAUGUUGCUGAAUUAGGAGAUGGAAUAUUUUGGCAACAGACCACACAGCUGUCGAGUGAAAGCUCAGCUGGGGAUCAGUUUCCUCCAGGAUGGAAAACAGGACUUCCUGGCCACCUGCUUGUCCCCUCCGGCCACACCCCAUGCCCUGUACUCCUGAGGGCCCUUUCGGCGGCCUUCACUGCGCUGAGCUUCUGGUUCUUGAAUCUGAAAGCCAGGCGUGGGCCUGAUUUGUUUGAAGCCCAUGCAGCUAGCUCUGAGGCCUCAGAACGGACAGACGGUCCACUGAGUCUUGGAGGAAGAACCAGAGAUGUGACAGAGAGGGUUAGCUCCAAAGCUCACACCCGUGGAGCAGGGCUGUUACAGAGAAGGUGCUUCCCAGCCGGGCACUACAUUUCCCAGCAGCCCUGUGGGCGCAUGGGGCUCGGGGAACGGGAACAGAGUCUCGUAGGUACCGUCCAGGCUAGGGCAGGGAGACGCGGAUUCCCUCCUGCUUCCUCCCUACCUUCACAGCCCAGGGUCGGGAGACAGGAAACUUCUGUGAAGAUGGUAAAUAUUUGCCCCUGACCUACCCUGGUGCUUCCCCAAGUGGCCCCCAUGGCGAGGCACCUCCCUCCCCUCGGGAAAUGUGGGUAACAACCCAGCUUUCCAAUCUGUCGGCCUUACUAUACCUCAAGUUUUCUACCAAUACACUAUAUUUAAUUUAAUUAUUUAUUUUUAAUACACUACAUAUUUUUAAUUUUUUUUUCAGUGUAUUUAUUUUGAGAGAAAAAGAGAGAGCAUGCCUAACACCGAAGGGGCAGAGACAGAGAGAGAGAGCAGGAGAGAGAGAAUCCCAAGCAGGUCCCACAACGCAGGGCUCGAACUCACCAACUGUGACAUCAUGACCUGAGCUGAAACCAAGAGUUCAACGCUCAACCGACUGACCCCCCAGGCGCUCCUAUGCUAUAUUUUAAAGCAAAGAUUAUGAUGCUUGCUCUACUAUAACGAAGCCCUCUAUCCCUGACCCAGGAGCCCCGAGCCACCUGGCAGUGUCCAUGACUCUGAAGGAUCGACAGGCCAAUCCCAGACUGCUCAUAGUCCAACAAGACCCAGGCCCGAUACCUUGAUGGGUUUCAUGAGAGCUGUGGCGUCUGAAGAAAGCAGUGGAAGGGAGCUGGUGAGAAGGCAGACAGAUUCAGGAGGUCUGCAAGCUCCCAGGGGAAGCCGAUGCUGUUGGCCUUGGACACGCUUGAGCAGGGUCCCGGGGACGGACGCACUGGACACAAGGCUGGCAUUUACCCCUGUGCCAGGAGGAUGGGACGGAAACUUCCUUAGGCCUGCCACCUGCACCACCCUGCCUUGUAUCGAGUCCCAUUGCCCUGUCCCCACCUGAACAGGCACAGUCUCAAUUCCCAGCUCCAGGGGACCGUUGAGAGAAAGAAAACUCCCGGCAGAAAUAACCACAUUUGCUUAUGGCCUGUUUGUUCAUUUAUCUGCUCUUCUGGAAACUAAGAAGCCCUUAUUUUUAGCACCUCCCAUGCUGAAGCAUGGAUUUUUUUUUUUUUUUGCCUUCAAGCUCUCUUAAAAAGUUGACACUUCCCAGCCUAUAAACUGCAAAGUCAUGUCAAGGUUCAACAGAAAGACACAGUGGGGGAAGAGGCCUCCUGUCCCACAGCCCCAGGAAACACUCACAGGAAGAGUGUCCCUGAAGCAGGCCCCCCAGCAAAAGGCCCCGCUCCUUCAACCUUGGCUCACCCUAUGGAGUAGGGGCGGGCGUUCUGUCUGGAGUCUCCUCCCCGCGUUGACCGCUUGACCAAGUGAAACUAACCCAUGGUAGUUUAUAAGCCUCUCACUGGAAAAACGUGGGGUGUGUGAGCCAAGCGUGAACCCCCGUUUUAAAAACAUUUGCAAGGGGAUAGUUGGGGCAACUGAGGCUCGAGGCUCGAGAUGUUUCUAGCUCUGACUCACCGCGAGAACUUGGGCAAGUCUGACUUCUCUGGGUCUCGAUUUCUCUGUGAGGGACAGGGGAAUAAUGAUUGUAGACCCCUCUCCCCAGUUAUACCCCUAGAACUCGAAAGAGCUGUUGCCUGCCCUACGUGACUAAUUUUUAGCUCAAACAUCCGUGACAUCUCUUAAUGUCCGUACACAAGGAACCAUGAUGAUAGCAGCCGCCUCAAAAACAGACCAGGAGAGUCGUAAUAAUUAAUAAUGCAGUGCUAGGACAUAGAUUUCCAGGGCAGUAAUCUUCUUUGUGCCUCUGUGAGGACAGGGGGUGGCUGGUAUGAGUGAGAACGUCACCAUCAUCAACAUCAUCAUCACCGUUGAUCUUUGCAAUCAGGAGGUGCAUUCUUCCCUAGAGCCCUCAAGACACUGUGGCCUGGACUUCCUGUCCCCAGAGCUACUUCUGUUAUGGGAAGUCCCACCCCCAACACGUGGCACUUGGAAAUUAACACAGAGGGGAGCCAGGGCCCGGACCGAGAAGGCCCCAAAGGGAGCUCCGGAGGCGGCCAGAACACCCCGGCGCUGCAAGCUGGGCACCUGGAGAAGACCCAGGUCCCUCUGGUGCCAUCUGACCCACGGUGGGAAGCAGUUGGGGCGGCCGCCAGGCCAGCGUGCCCCCAGUAUCUAUGUCAGUCCAGACCUGUCCCAAGCAGCCUGGCUGUCCACCAGGCUGUCACCAAACUGACGGAAGACCCAGAUGAGGACGGGCUUUGUGGAAUGUGUUCUCUGAGCGCUCGCUGCCCGAGAGGCUGCCUGAGUUCUUUUGACGGGAAAUUGCAGAGACGAGGCUCCGUGUCCGUGCCUCUCAUCCUUCUGCACCAUACACCCGCCCUUUUUUCUCCUUUCUUCAUUUCCCCAUUCCUCUAAGCUCCUGUGAGUGCUCUGAUUGCCAACCCAAAUCCUGCCUGCCCGUCCAUCGGUAGAUCCCAGCCCCGGUCCUCACUGGCCACAUGACCACAUCGUCAUUGGCCACAUGACGCCUGGUUACAGGGACACUUCACCUUCUCCUUCUACCAAGUUCUAACGACAUAGGAGGGCCUUCCUCCUCUCGGUGAAGGGGGCGGGUCUCCAGGGCACAGGAGGCUCUUCUCGGAGCGCCCAGUGUAGUCAGGCUCAGGAAAGGACUCACAGUUUCAGGAAUCCACGGGGCGUCAAGGUUACUUGCAAAGACCAGGGGCCAGCAAACAGCCUGCGAGCCAAGAAUGGCUGUUGUGUUUUUAAAUAGUUGAGUAAAAAAAAUAAAAGAAGAAGACUAUUUUGUGACACGUGAAAAUUACAUGAAAUUCGAAGUUCGGCGUCCGCAGACAAAGUCUUACUGGAACACGGCCACACUUAACUCGCUUCCACAUUCUCUGUGGCUGCUUUGCUCUUCGGCCACAGAGCUGAGUAGCUGUGACAGGCGGCACAACCCGCGGAGCCUAACAUGUGUACCAGCUGAUGUUCCUGAGAAAGGUUGCUGGCCCGUGGGCACAGACUCUGGAGCCGGAUUGUCUAACUUCAAAUCCUAGAUCCACCGCUUACUGGCUGUGUGACAGGGGGGCAAGUUCUGUCUCCCUCUCUGCCUCCGUGUCCACAUCCCUCAAAUGGGUACAACAGUCCUUAUUUCAAAAUAUCAUUGUAAGGAUUAGAGGAACUAUCAUUUCUCAGGUCUUAGAACCGAGCCCAGCACUUAGGAGUACUAUGGAUAGGGGCCUGGAUGGCUCAGUCGGUUGAGUGUCUGACUUCGGCUCAGGUCCUGAUCUCAUGGUUUGUGGGUUCGAGCCCUGCAUCGGGCUCUGUGCUAACAGCACAGAUUUUAAAAAAUUAAAAAAAAAAAAUAGAAGUACUGUGAAUGGGUUAAAUUAUUUUCAGAUCCUUACACAUCACCAUCCUACACCAGAGUGAAAUGUAUAAGAAUUCUUAAGCUUUCCUUCUACUUGACACAGAAGGGUUCUUUAAACAUAUUGUUUUCUUUGCUUUUCAUCAUUGCCCCGUAUGCAAACAGAUCCAGGAAACCUUAGCUCAGGCUUCUCAAAUCCCAGAUGGGUUCUAAUUUGUUAUGUCGGAGGAAAAAAGUCUGUCUUCCCUAGCAGGUGCACGGGGCUGUUUUGUGAGUCACAGACGUCACCUCCUUACUCUUCAGCAUUAGAAGACAUUCUGGGCCAGCUCAACAAAUCCUGCCUGUAAAGCGAAAGCAGAAUGAGGAAGCAUGGACUUCCCACAAGGACAGGGAUGUUCUCAUUCCUGAACCGUGGUGGCUGGGGUGACGCGUGGAGGAGUCUGGGAGAGCUGGCACGGGACGGGGGACAUCCGCAGUAUCCCCACCCCCCCACCUCCCACUUCUUCCACGGGACCAAGUGCUGGUCGAGCUCCUGGCUGCUCCGUGGGAGAUUCCUCCCCUGCCCGACCUCCUGUGCAGUUUGUCGUGGUCGUGUGACCAGACGCAUCAGCGCUGGAAUGUGGGUGGGGGCGACAGGCACCACCACUGCCUCUGGGCCUUAAGUCAUGGAGCCCGUGUCCCGCCUUGCCCUCCACCUGCCUGUGAACUGCAACCACACAGAUGACAGCGAUACCCUAAGCGACAGCAAAACAGCAAGGUGACAGAACCUGGGUCCCUGAGUGAGCACGUGCAGCAGAGAAACCUGUCCCCUUGGACCCAUGGUGGAAGGACUCUCAGAGAGAGUACAUGUUUGUUAAGUCACCAUUCCGGGAGCUAGAACCCAGAACCUAGAACCUAGAACCUAGAAAAGAGGGUUAAUUAUACUUCUGCACCCACCUCGGGACGUUCCAGCGAAAAUGUCGUUUGACCAUCAAGGAGAACCACUUCUGCAUGAGACUCAGCAUUUUCCCGAGAGAGAGUCUGAUCCCUUGUAUUCUUUAGCCGCCAAGAUAAAGAGCCUCAGGCUUACGUGUGUUUUCAAGGAGCUUUGGAAAUGUUUCAGACUUGAAAAAAAUCAGAGGCCUCAAAGUAUGGAAAUAGCAAUAGGAAACUCAAAUGAUUACUUUACAUACUCCUCCAUUCAUUGUGAAAUUGAGGACACAUGAAAGUCUCACUACAUCUGAAAAACAUCUGUAAAGCCAAGUGUUCCCAUGUUACAAGAACUGGUAAGUAUGCCAGUGAUUGCUAGGACAUAACAGCUAAUUGUUAAGUUAAAUGAGCAACUUGUAGCUAAAAUCAUUUUCGGAGCAAAAUCACGGCCCCGCCCAACCGCCGCAGAGCUCAUCAUGCCAGGUGACUGCACACUUCCAGAGCUGUCUCUACGUCCCCUUUUCUCUUGCUUCCUCAUCACAAACACCAAUCAACCAAAACCUCUUUCUCUAAACACGAAAAACACGGAAGCCGACGGAGUUAGGUGGAACGCCAAACCGUUCUGGUUGCCCGCAGGGACCAGGGCUUUGCAUGUGCAUUUCAGCAGGACAGACGGUUCCUGAGCCAUAAGGUCAAAGUCACCAUCAGCUGAUGUGCAUCCAAUUGGGCUUUUCCAAUCGGACUUUCCCCAAACCCACUCCCCUGCAAGGAAGGAAAAGCAGGUAUUUUCCAAACCCACACCUUACAAAUGUCAGGGAUUUUUUUUUUUUUUAAAUGCUUGGUCUCCCUCA